CACAACCUCACCUUUGUAAUUUGUACUAACAAAAUAAAUACACUCCAUCCUACUAAGUAUAAAUAAUCUCAAUUAAUUGUCUUAUCAACACUCCAUUGGAAGGUUCAAUUGGUGUAACACCUAGAGAUGAGGCUUCUUCACAUUUUUUUGGCUUUGCUCAUUAUGGCUUCAAUGUCAAGAGCUCAACCUCCUGUUGGUCCAACAACUUGUCCUGUGCCUAAAGAUAAAUGUGAAGAGGCAUGCAAUGUGAGAUGUUCACAAAAAGGUCACAAAAAAAGAUGUUUGUUUUAUUGCAACCAUUGUUGUGGAUGGUGUCAAUGUGUUCCACCAGGUUAUGUUGGUGAAAAUAAAGAUUGUUGUCCUUGCUAUAGAGAUUGGAAGAAACAGACAGGAGAACCAAAAUGUCCAUGAAAUUAAAAAUUAAUUAAAUUAAUUUAUCAUGGAUUAACAAUAUGGUUUUUAUUGUAUUAAUACUUUAUUUGAUCUUCUUGAGAGUGUUGUUAAUAUAUCUUUAACUUUUUUAUGCA